AUGCAGUCGAACGCUUUGUCUUUAACUGAUCUGACGAGCUUGCUCUGAUUUGAUUUUAUCUGACAAAGAGUGGCGAACGGGUGAGUAACACGUGGGUAACCUACCUCUUAGCAGGGGAUAACAUUUGGAAACAAGUGCUAAUACCGUAUAAUACCAACAACCGCAUGGUUGUUGGUUGAAAGAUGGUUCUGCUAUCACUAAGAGAUGGACCCGCGGUGCAUUAGCUAGUUGGUAAGGUAACGGCUUACCAAGGCAAUGAUGCAUAGCCGAGUUGAGAGACUGAUCGGCCACAAUGGGACUGAGACACGGCCCAUACUCCUACGGGAGGCAGCAGUAGGGAAUCUUCCACAAUGGGCGCAAGCCUGAUGGAGCAACGCCGCGUGUGUGAUGAAGGGUUUCGGCUCGUAAAACACUGUUAUAAGAGAAGAACGGCACUGAGAGUAACUGUUCAGUGUGUGACGGUAUCUUACCAGAAAGGAACGGCUAAAUACGUGCCAGCAGCCGCGGUAAUACGUAUGUUCCAAGCGUUAUCCGGAUUUAUUGGGCGUAAAGCGAGCGCAGACGGUUAUUUAAGUCUGAAGUGAAAGCCCUCAGCUCAACUGAGGAAUGGCUUUGGAAACUGGAUGACUUGAGUGCAGUAGAGGAAAGUGGAACUCCAUGUGUAGCGGUGAAAUGCGUAGAUAUAU
rnacentral:rRNA from 1 species